rnacentral:misc_RNA from 2 species
CCGAGUUAGGGUCUCCUUCGUGAGGCCCGACCUCCCAACCCUGUGUCUAACAAACCUGUAUGUGUUGCUUCGGCGGAACGGCAGUCACCCCUCCGGGGGAGACCGUCGCCGGGGGCGUCCAGCCCUUGGAGAGCGUCCGCCGAUGGCCCAACCAAACAAACUCCCAAACCAAAUAAUAGUACCUAAAACUUCUGAAUCAGACUUUUGAUAUACCAAUCAAAAACA